UGCAUUCCAUGGUCAUCUUCCUGAAUGAGGGAGCAACCCCUUCUAAGUGUGGCCAGGGGUCUAGGGGUCUCAAGGCCCUCUCAGAAAGGGCUCAUGAAGUCAAAGCUAUUUUCCUAGUAAUACUAAGUAUUUGUUCCUUUUUUAUUCUCUUUUUGUCAUGAGUGUACAGUGGAGUUUUAUAGAGGCUGUGUGACGUGUAAUAGUGUAGCAGACUGCAGAAGCAGCUCUGAGAAUUCACCUGUAUUUUUGGUCAGACAUGAAAGCAGUUUGCAAAAGUGCGAAGCAAUGUGGUUCUUCUUCCUAGGUUUCAUUUCAUUUUGCUUUGAGAAGAACAGUUAAUUUUUCACCAAACAUGAUUUAUGUUAACAUCUAAUAGCUUCAUAUUAUUAUUACUUUUUUGACUUAAAAAAAUUCCAGUAUAAACAUAUAGUGUUAUAUUAGUUUCAAGGGUACAAUAGAGUGAUUCAACAUUUCCAUACAUCAUUCAGUCCUCAUCCUGGUCUUGGAUAUUGCUGUAUGAAGAGGAGAUGCUCAGACCUUUUCCAUCUGCCUUGCAGUCAUGAGGAGACAACUAUUGUAAAUGAACAGAAAUCAAAGAGAAGGCAAGACUGCACACCCUGAAACUUCUUAUCAUCUGUAAUUAGCUCCUCAUGAGGAGAGUCCUAUCAGAGCCAAGAUAUGCUGAGCCCAACUCACACCGGACUCACACCGGCUCCUGCGUGGAGAUCGUGGAGAUCCAGGGAGGGCAGCCUCACAGAUGAUGUAUUUAUGAGAACUGAUCGUGCUCCCGUGGAACAGAGAACACUAGCACAGAGAGCACUGGGUCCGUGCACAGUAGGUUUUGGAGAGAAUAACAUGUAUUUUGACUCAAUAAAUGCUGCUUGUUUA